GACGAACGCUGGCGGCGUGCUUAACACAUGCAAGUCGAACGGAAAGGCCCUGCUCUUGUGGGGUGCUCGAGUGGCGAACGGGUGAGUAACACGUGAGUAACCUGCCCUUGUCUUUGGGAUAACUUCAGGAAACUGGGGCUAAUACCCGAUAGGAUCUCCUGCUGCAUGGUGGGGGUUGGAAAGUUUCGGCGGUGGGGGAUGGACUCGCGGCUUAUCAGCUUGUUGGUGGGGUAGUGGCUUACCAAGCCUUUGACGGGUAGCCUGCCUGAGAGGGUGACCGGCCACAUUGGGACUGAGGUACGGCCCAGACUCCUACGGGAGGCAGCAGUGGGAAAUAUUGCACAAUGGGCGGGAGCCUGAUACAGCGACGCCGCGUGCGGGAUGACGGCCUUCGGGUUGUAAACCGCUUUCGCCUGUGACGAAGCGGGCGUGACGGUAAUGGGUAAAGAAGCACCGGCUAACUACGUG
rnacentral:rRNA from 1 species